CAGCAGCCGCGGGAAUACGGAGGGAGCUAGCGUUAUUCGGAAUUACUGGGCGUAAAGCGCACGUAGGCGGCUUUGUAAGUUAGAGGUGAAAGCCUGGAGCUCAACUCCAGAAUUGCCUUUAAGACUGCAUCGCUUGAAUCCAGGAGAGGUGAGUGGAAUUCCGAGUGUAGAGGUGAAAUUCGUAGAUAUUCGGAAGAACACCAGUGGCGAAGGCGGCUCACUGGACUGGUAUUGACGCUGAGGUGCGAAAGCGUGGGGAGCAAACAGGAUUAGAUACCCGCGUAGUCCCUGUCUCUUAUAC
rnacentral:rRNA from 1 species